GGUUUGAUUCUGGCUCAGAUUGAACGCUAGCGGGAUGCCUUACACAUGCAAGUCGAACGGCAGCAAGGACUUCGGUCUGGUGGCGAGUGGCGAACGGGUGAGUAAUGUAUCGAAACGUGCCCAGUAUGGGGAUAAUCACACGAAAGCACAUACCGCAUACGUUCUCAUGUAAAAGUAGGAUCGCAAGACCUUGCACUAUUGAGCGGCCGAUAUCGGAUUAGCUGAAGCAGGGUAACGGCUCACCAAGGUGACAGAUCCGUAGCUGGUUUUGAGAGGACGACCAGCCACACUGGGACUGGAGAUACGGCCCAGACUCCUACGGGAUACAGUGGGGAAUUUGACAAUGGGGAACCGAUCCAGCCAUCCCGCGUGUGCGAUGAAGGCCUGGUUGUAAAGCACUUUUGGCAGAAAGAAACGUCGUGGGUUAAUACCUCGCGAAACGAUUUCAGUAAUGCAGAAUGCUACCCGCUAGAAUCACGCCAGCAGCCGCGUACACGUAGGUGCAGCGUUAAUCGAAUUUAUUGGGCAAAGGGCGCAGGCAGCUGGAAAAAGAAAAGAUGUAGAAACCAGAGCUUAAAACUUUGGAACUGCAUUUUAACUACCGGGCGAGAGUGUGUCGUAGAGGGAGGUAAAUUCGCGUGUAGCAGGAAUGCGUAGAUAUAUGGAGGAACACCGAUUACAAGGCAGCCUCUGGGAUAACACUGACGCCUUACGCACGAAAGCGUGGGGAGCAAACAGGAUUAGAUACCCUGUAGUCCACGCCCCGUAAACGAUGUCAACUAGCUGUUGGGGCCGGCCCAGGCGCAGCUAACGGCGUGUUGACCGCCUGUGAGCAUGGUCGCAAAGAUUAAAACUCAAGCGAAUUGACGGGGACUCAAACAAGCGUGGAUGAGGGAUUAAUUCGAUGCAACGCGAAAAACUCACUGCAUCUUUGACAUGUCUGGAAUGCCGAAGAGAUUUGGCAGUGCUCGCAAGAGAACCGGAACACAGGAAGUGCACGGCUGUCGUCAGCUCGUGUCGUGAGAUGUUGGGUUAAACCUGCAACGAGCGCAACCCUUGUCAUUAGUUGCUACGAAAGGGCACUCAAUGACUGCUGGUGAGCAACCGAGGAAGGUGGGGUGAUUGUUUACGGCUUCAAGUCCUCAUGGCCCUUAUGGGUAGGGCUUCACACGUCAUACAAUGGUUUCCCGGACAGGGUAGUCGCCAACCCGCGAGGGGAGCCAAUCCCAGAAACCCGAUCGUAGUCCGGAUCGCAGUCUGCAACUCGACUGCGUGAAGUCGGAAUCGCUAUAAAUCGCGGAUCAGCAUGUCGCGGCAACAAGGUUCUGGUCUGGAAGACACCGCCUGCUUCACACCGCUGAGUGGUUUACCAGAAGUAGUUAGCUCAACCGCAAGGGGGCGACGUUUACGGCAGGAUUCAUGACCGGGGCAGGCUCGUAACAGCGGCAG
rnacentral:rRNA from 1 species